rnacentral:rRNA from 1 species
UACAGAGGGGGCAAGCGUUGUUCGGAAUUACUAGGCGUAAAGGGCGCGUAGGCGGCCUGUUAAGUCGAACGUGAAAUCCCCGGGCUCAACCCGGGAACUGCGUCCGAUACUGGCAGGCUUGAAUCCGGGAGAGGGAUGUGGAAUUCCAGGUGUAGCGGUGAAAUGCGUAGAUAUCUGGAGGAACACCGGUGGCGAAGGCGGCAUCCUGGACCGGUAUUGACGCUGAGGCGCGAAAGCCAGGGGAGCAAACGGG